rnacentral:rRNA from 1 species
AUACGGAGGAUCCGAGCGUUAUCCGGAUUUAUUGGGUUUAAAGGGAGCGUAGAUGGAUGUUUAAGUCAGUUGUGAAAGUUUGCGGCUCAACCGUAAAAUUGCAGUUGAUACUGGAUAUCUUGAGUGCAGUUGAGGCAGGCGGAAUUUGUGGUGUAGCGGUGAAAUGCUUAGAUAUCACGAAGAACUCCGAUUGCGAAGGCAGCCUGCUAAGCUGCAACUGAUAUUGAGGCUCGAAAGUGUGGGUAUCAAACAGGAUUAGAUACCCUGGUAGUCCACACGGUAAACGAUGAAUACUCGCUGUUUGCGAUAUACGGCAAGCGGCCAAGCGAAAGCGUUAAGUAUUCCACCUGGGGAGUACGCCGGCAACGGUGAAACUCAAAUGAAUUGACGGGG